GGGGGUAUAGCUCAGUGGUAGAGCAUUCGACUACGAAUCGAGAGGUCCCGGUUCAAACUCGGAUGCUUCCU